GGAGAAGAAAAAAAAAAGAGGGAGAGAAAAGGGAGAGGGGGAGGGAAGAGAAUUCCGGCCAUGGGCCGGUCACCGGUCCGAUCGCCGGACCGUCGCCGGCCCCGGCGCAGGCCACCAUGCACGGUGGCCGAAAAAGGUAAAUUUUUUUCCAUUUUUUUAAUUAUUUGUUUUAUAUUUUUUAUAUGUUUUAGUAUAUGUAUGUGGGAAAAUAGGCCCAAAACGAAAUUAAAAUAGGAUAAAAAAUAAAUCACCUUAGGUUUUUAAGCUUUCGAUUUCUGAGAUUUUUGGUUUGUAUUCGAUGCUAUCUACUUUCUUUGAUCUUAUUGAAUCCACUGUUCUUGGUUUUCUUUGAUCUUAUUGAAUCCACUGUUCUUGGUUUUAAUCUGCUAGUAUUGAUAAAAAACAAAGAAAAAUCCUUUGUAUUGAUAGAAAAAUCCCUCCUCUAAAUUGUUUGUACAUUCGGCUUUUAUAGCCUGUUUUCUAAUUCUUUUUUAUUGUUUUUACUGUCUCUCCCAUUUAUUGCUUGCAGGUACCAUGGGCGGUGGAGGUGACCGAUGGGACGGUGCUGCAGGGAUGUCAGAGGCAAGUGGGGGUUAGGUCGGUGGCUCGUAGCUUUAGGGUUUUGUUUUUUCUUUUUUUUUGAUUUUGGGCAUUGGGCUGAUUGGGCUAGGAUUAGGUAUUGGGCUUAGUUGUUUUAUUUGGGGUUUAGUAUGUAUUGGAUUUGGGUUUUGUAAUUUUACUGUGUUUGGGUAAUUUGUCUUGGGUCCAAGCCCGGGCAAAUAUUGGGCUAUAUAAUGUGAAUUUGAAAGGUUUCAUAAAAUGCCUGUUAUUGGUUUCGGCGUCUUGACGGUUAGUAUGGCUGGCACGAAAUGAUUUGUAUUCGACAAAACUUCGAGGACAAUUGAUAUGUUGUUUAAUCCCAAAAUGAGAUCUUUGAUGUGAACAAGGGUAGUGCAUGAUGACAUUUAAUUUUCGGAGGGUUCAUGGUGGUUUUGUCUUGCAAAAUGUAGGCCUUCGAGAAAUAAAGUCAACAAGGCUGUUAUUCAUUGGGUUCCAUCUCCCCACAGGUGGUCGAAGUUUAUCGUCGCAGAGGUAGCUGAGGAUGAAGCUGAUGCGGUGGAGUGUUGUGAGACGAGAAAGGAAUGGUGGCUUGUUCAUUAUUUUCUGUGUUGAUUGAUGCCGUUGGGCCUGAAAUAGCAGAGGAGUUCUAGGACAUGGUCGUUGUGGAAUCUUUUAGUAGGUAUUGAUCGUUAUAUUAUCCAGUUGGUUAGAGUUCAUUUCGCAUUUGUUCAUUGACAAGGUAAUAGUAUGGAUGCUUCUUUGGCAAUGGUGAGUUAUUUAAAACUUGGUGGCGAAAUGUUUUUUCUUUGUUAUUAGCUGUUCGCACAGGUGGUGGAUGUCUAAGAUUAUCUGGGAGUUUUUUAAUAUCUUUUCAUUAAUAUAUUCUUAUUGACUGAGCGAAAAAAAAAUUGUGUUAAUUCUUUUUUACUCAUUAUAAAUUUGGGAUUUUUUUAAGGGAAUUUAAUUUUUUUAUUUUUAUUUAAAAAUAUAAAUUAAUUGUUAACACUCUUAAUUUUUUAAAAUUAAAUUCAGGCUAAAUAUAUACAUGGUAAUCAAACAAGUAUUUAUUUAUUCCAAAAUGAUAUAUAAGUGAAUUUAAUAGAAAAUUUUAAUUGUAUUUGCAUUGUUAUUUGAAACACUUUUUGUAUUUGCAUUGUUGACAAAUUAUUGAACCUUAUUUUUUAUUGUACUAAUUAUGUGGAUGAUAUCUAGUCCAUUAAUGGAGAUCAUAUCACUUGGGGAAAUAUAUUCGGAAGAUUGGAUCAAAUUGGAUCACCCCAUUUUUUAAUCCCUUGGAUCGAGGAUAUUUAAUUGAGUUGGAACACUGCAUUCUUAGUUACCAAGAGUCCAUGGUUACCUUGUCAUUAUUAUAUUGUAUUUGGCUUAUCUUAAUGAUGUUUUAUAUGGAUUAAAAUAGGUCUUUUUAUGUUAGCAAGUUUUGAAAUAUUCUAUAUAAUUGAAGGACUUGUAUAAGUUAUCCUACUAAAAGAUAUAGCACUUAAUUUAUUCAAGUGAGGAACUUUAUGUUGUGAG
rnacentral:lncRNA from 1 species